GACGAACCGUGCGAACGUUGUUCGGAAUCACUGGGUUUAAAGGGCGCGUAGGCGGGCUGUCAAGUCGGUGGUGAAAUCUUUCGGCUCAACCGGAAAAUUGCCUUCGAUACUGGCGGCCUGGAGGGAGGUAGGGGCAUGCGGAACUUCCGGUGGAGCGGUGAAAUGCGUAGAUAUCGGAAGGAACACCGAUGGCGAAAGCAGCGUGCUGGACCUUUUCUGACGCUGAGGCGCGAAAGCCCAGGGGGAGCAAAACGGGG
rnacentral:rRNA from 1 species